AGAUUAUAUUUUUAUGCAAGAAAACAAAACCAGGUUAUCUGAUGGACUGCUUUAUCUUUAAGGACAGCCUGGAGCCACAGCUGCCAAGAACAGAAAACAUUUGGAAUAUUUGUAUCAAUGACCAGGUCUUAACAAUGAUCUUAUGAUUGUGGAUUUGAAAACAGAAAGGGACUCAGACAAAAGAAUUAUGGUUCUUAACAUCUCCAGCAAUGAAGAUGAGUUGAACCUCUGAUGGGUGAAAUUUCUGGAAUGGACAACAAACUUUUUGAAGAGGAGCAGGUGUCACCUGAUUCUACACCUACCAGGUGUCAGGAGACUUCAGAGGACACAAUGAAUGAAGAAUAUGAAACAAAGGCAGAAGAAUGGGAAUGCCAAUUUGAAGUCCAGCACAUUCUGCUGGAGCCUGAAUCCAGUUCUCUAUCUAUGUCAUACCUAAUAAACUGCAAUGAGACAUCUGUGGAGCCUGGCAUGGUUAUAAGCAGCGUCACUGCUGCUGAUGAACCUGAUAUAAAGCAUUUUUGUGAAGAAUUACUAUAUUCUUCAGCACACAAAUCUAACUACAAUCCUGUGCACUUGCCCUUACAUACCGCCUGUCCUUCCCCAUUCCUUCCAAGAGGAAGCUCAGAUGAGCUAUCAGAAAGGGUUCACAAGAUCAGAGUGAGGAAACACAAACCAAGUGCUAUCUCUUUUUCUGACUUUGAAUUUUUAUCACUUGGAACUAAUGCUAAAUUCCAUCUUUGUGAAGUAACAGAAACAUCUGAAGAGGACGAGGAGAGGGGUGGUGAUGAUGACGUAUUUACAGAGCUGCCCCAACCUGGGGUAUUUCUUAACGGUCUUCAUAAAAGGGCUGUUUCCCAAGGAAAAAGAGAAGAACAAGAACACUGCAAAAGUCAGCAUAUCCAUCAUGUAGAGAGUUCCUGUGAGCAUUCUGAAGGGACCCUGGAUAACCACAAAAGGGAAGAAAAGCAAAUGGCUUUGGUGACCCAACCAGAAACAGGAUCUGAGUGGUCAGACUCUAUGUCAUGUCUGAUGAAGAAGCUGGAACAAUUGAAUUUAGAUAUUGAAGAGGCUCUCAGUGCUGGCUCUUCUCCUACCAGUACUCCUUGUACAAAAAGGCGCAAAGAGACGUGUGCUAUUAAAAUGGAGACAAACCCUCACAGAGAUCAUCAGAGAAAGGGAAUCUGUACAAGUAAGAGGGCAGGCUACCAAGAGCUAGAUGGUUUGCCAUGUCCAGUGUCAUCUGGAGCACGACCAAAAACUGAUCUGCUUUUUCAGAAACUGAGCAGAGAGAAAGCAGAAAUUGAAGCAAAGGAAACGUGUGACUGGUUACGAGCUGCUGGAUUUCCACAAUAUGCUCAUCUCUAUGAAGAUUCCCAGUUUCCUAUUGACAUUGCAGCUGUAAAGACGGACCAUGAUUUUCUUGAUAAGGACCUUGUAGAACCUCUUUGCAGACGACUGAAUACAUUGAACAAGUGUGCCUCAAUGAAACUCGAUGUGAACUUCCAAAGGAAAAAGAGUGAAGAUUCAGAUGAAGAAGACCUCUGUGCUAUCAGUAAUAAAUGGACUUUCCAAAGAACCAGCAGAAGAUGGUCUCGGGUGGAUGAUAUUGACACCUUGCUUCACCGAUCAGGUAGACAUGGAUCUUCAGGGGACAUUAAAAUGAAAAACACAACAAGCAGUGAAAGUGUGCUUACAGACCUGAGUGAGCCUGACGUCUCAUCUAUUCACAGCGAGAGCAGUGGGGGAAGUGACAACAGGAGUCCAUCUGGCAUCAGCAGCACUAACAGGGAGGUACAUGACAGCUCAGGAGAGCAGGAGGUAGAAAGCACACAUAUGCAUGACUCCUCUUCAGUCAUCAGUACCCAGGAUCCAAAAGACAUCAUAAAAUACUCCUUGAACAUUAAGAAUGAAAAACCAACACGAACCAGAGCCAAAACCUUUCUAAAGCGUAUGGAGACAUUAAAAGCUAAAGGAACAUAUGGAAAAUUAAGAGGCUCAGGAAAAACUGGUGUUUUAGAUAUAAGUGGACCUGUUCUUCAGUAUGAGCCAAAAUCCUUGAAGGACUUGCACUGUGUAGAGAUAGUAAAUGGAGAUCUCCAAAAUUUAGCACAGGAGACAGUCAAAACAGGACUUUCCUUCUCUGGCAAAUCCAGCAGUGACAGUAGUCAAUCAGAAAACAGCAGCAGCGGAGUAAGUACACCAUGUUUAAAGGAACGCAAAUGUCAGGAAACAAACAAGAGAGGUGGUAUGUAUCUGGAGGACUUGGAUGUCCUUGCAGGAGCAACCCUGAAACAAGUAGUAGACCAAAAUCAUAAAAAUGAAUUUCACUCCCAAGAGGAUCUGGUGGUACAUAUUCCCAAAGACCAUAAACCUGGAACUUUUCCAAAGGCACUUUCUAUUGAAAGUCUUUCACCUACAGACAAUGGUAACAAUGUUAACUGGAGAACAGGCAGCAUCUCUCUGGGCAAACAGAAGUGCUCUAUUCCUAGAGAGGCCAGAUUGAUAACUUGCUGUCCUAAGGAGAGCAGAGUUAGUAUUUAUGACAAUGUGCCAGGUUCCCAUUUGUAUGCCAGCACUGGAGACCUUUUGGACUUGGAAAAAGAUGAGCUUUUCCCUCAUUUAGAUGACAUUUUGCAGCAUGUCAAUGGACUUCAAGAGGUUGUUGACCAUUGGUCAAAAAAUGUACUGCCAGAUAUGCCAAAUAAUGAUUUGUCUGUUGGGAAAUCUACAUCAUUACCAUUCCAGUCAACUACCCAGAUCACAUUGGACUUUGAAGGAAACUCUGUUUCUGAUGGUCGGACUACACCAAGUGACAUGGAUAGAGAUGGAGCUUCCCUCAAUGAGUCAGAAGCUACUGGUGUCAGGGAUAGGAGAGACUCUGGUGUGGGAGCAUCUCUCACCCGGCCAAGCAGGCGAUUACGAUGGAAUAGUUUCCAAAUUUCUCAUAGUAUGAGCCAGUCCAUAGCAUCUCUACAAAUCAGCAAUCAGUCAGCAGUCCAACUGAAUCUACUGCAAAAAUUCUCACUGCUUCGCCUCACUGCCAUUAUGGAAAAAUACUCCAUGUCAAACAAACAUGGCUGGACCUGGUCUGUGCCAAAGUUCAUGAAGAGGAUGAAAGUUCCUGACUACAAGGACAAAAAUGUCUUUGGCGUGCCUUUGAUAGUCCAUGUCCAGAGGACAGGGCAGCCACUUCCUCAAAGUAUACAGCAAGCCUUGCGCUACUUACGCAGCAAUUGUCUAGAUCAGGUGGGCCUGUUUCGAAAAUCAGGCGUGAAAUCCCGAAUCCAGGCCCUGCGUCAGAUGAAUGAGAGCUCUCCCGAGAAUGUCAGGUAUGAAGACCAGUCAGCCUAUGAUGUGGCAGAUAUGGUAAAGCAGUUCUUCAGAGACUUGCCAGAACCUCUUCUCACCAGCAAACUAGGAGAAACCUUCUUACACAUCUAUCAAUAUGUUCCCCAAGAGCAGCGGCUUCAGGCAGUGCAGGCAGCCAUCAUGCUGAUGUCAGAUGAAAACAGGGAGGCUUUGCAGACUCUGCUCUGCUUCCUAAGUGAUGUCAACUCAGUAGAAGAGAAUCAAAUGACUCCUAUGAACCUGGCUGUGUGUCUGGCCCCUUCUCUUUUCCACCUUAACAUAGUCAAGAAAGAAAGCUCACCAAGAGUAAUACAGAAAAAAUAUGCGACAGGGAAGCCAGAUCAGAAGGAUCUCAGUGAAAACUUGGCAGCUACUCAGGGACUUGCACACAUGAUAAUGGAAUGCAACAAACUUUUUGAGGUCCCACAUGACAUGGUAGCCCAGUCUCGGAACUCCUAUGUGGAGGCUGAAAUUCAUUCUCCAACGCUGGAGGAGCUAGGAAAACAAAUAGAUGAAGAAGGAGGAACUUACCAAAUGUACAUUGAAAGUCUGCUGCAGAACCUUCAGAAAGAAGCAAAAGAAAAAUUCAAAGGCUGGAUCACCUGUCCCAGUAUAGAGAGCACAGAGCUUACCUACAAAAAGGUGGGGGAUGGGAACCCACUACGGCUUUGGAAAGUAUCGGUUGAAGUUGAAGCACCCCCGUCAGUCGUACUAAAUCGGGUGCUAAGAGAACGUCAUCUUUGGGAUGAGGACUUCUUGCAAUGGAAGAUCAUAGAGACUCUGGACAAGCAGACAGAAAUAUACCAAUAUGUUUUAAACAGCAUGGCUCCCCAUCCCGUCAGAGAUUUUGUAGUUUUAAGGACAUGGAGGACAGAUUUGCCAAAAGGGAUGUGUAUGCUAGUGGCUGUUUCAGUGGAACAUGAAGAGGCUCCUUUGAUGGGGAGUGUACGGGCAAUUGUGAUGGACUGUCAAUAUUUAAUAGAGCCGUGUGGCUCAGGAAAAUCCAGGUUGACACACAUCUGUAGAAUUGACCUAAAGGGCCAUUCCCCAGAGUGGUACAAUAAAGGUUUUGGACAUCUGUGUGCAGCAGAAGUUGCCAGAAUCAGAAACUCAUUCCAACCCCUGAUUGCUGAGGGACCAGAAACCAAAAUCUGAGUAAAUGUUCCGGGAAGGUUGUAAGCAUAAAUCAGGAUACAGUAGAGAACAGAAGGACCUGAGGCAAAGAACUCAUUUGAUUAAGGCUGCAGUUACUGGCUGGAGAAGGGUGACCUGAAGUCUGUGCAGUGGUGAAACAGGAAUUUUACAGGAAGACACUUUCAUUCUGGAGGUACAGGAUACAAACUGGGCACAAGGAGACUUGUCUUCCCUGCACUGAAGACUGCUACAUAAAAAAAUGAAAUUCUUAUAAUCAAAUUAGUCCCCAAGGUGACAUACAUUAUUAUGUUUUACUGUCUGCAACCAUACAAGGCACCUCACAGAAAAUAAAGAUGUUGCCCAUGCCUCCAAAAGAAGCCACUUCUUUAAGGGUUUGUUUUGAUUUCCACAUACGCAGAGGUGUUUAAGCAUCUACCUUUCAUUGACUUAAAAGGAAACUGGGUACCUAAACAUCUUUGGAGGCAGUGUCCUUUGAACCUUUCUCUUACCUUGCACCCAAUCAUUUAGUGAUUAAUCAGCAGACAGGUGAAGGGCCUAGACCCAAUUUUUUAAAUGGACUCAGAGCAGGAACUUGAACCCAGGGCUCCUACAACCAGCAAGUCCUCCAGCAACUGUACUAUUGCUAUGUGCCUUAUUCUGCCUCUGGUUUGCAUGGGUUGUGCCCUAGCACUGAAAAUGCCUAAACUUUUGCUGCUGGGAAUGUGCAGAACCAACAAGGCCUGAAGUGCUUGACACACAACUGGCUGAAGGGUUGUACUCAGAGGGUGGUGGUGGAUGGGUCAUAUUUGACCUGGGGGGAAGUGGGCAGUGGAGUCCCCCAGGGCUUGGUCCUUGGGCCCGCACUGUUCAACUUCUUUAUCAGUGAUUUGGACGAUGGGGUGAAAAGCAACCUGUUCAAAUUUGCUGAUGAUACCAAAAUUUGGGGUGAGGUGAGCAUGUUAGCAGGGAGGGAAAGACUGCAGAAAGACCUGGAUAGGUUGCAGGGGUGGGCUAACAAAAACAGGAUGUGUUUCAAUACUGACAAGUGCAGGGUGCUGCACUUGGGCAGUAGUAACCGGCAGCACACUUAUAAGAUGGGAAACUCCCUUCUUGAGAGCACGGAGGCAGAAAGGGAUCUUGGAGUCAUCAUUGACUCCAAGAUGAACAUGGGCUGACAAUGCGAGGUCACGGUCGGCAGGGCUAACCGGACCCCAUCGUGCAUCCACAGGUGCAUCUCAAGUAGGGCCAAGGAGGUGAUCCUCCCCCUCUACGCGACACUGGUCAGGCCGCAGCUGGAGUACUGUGUCCAGUUCUGGGCACCCCACUUCAAGAGGGAUGUGGACAACUUUGAGAGGGUCCAGAGGAGGGCCACCCGCAUGAUCCGGGGACAGCAGGGCAGACCCUACAAUAAGAGGCUACGGGACCUGAACCUGUUCAGCCUGCACAAGAGAAGGCUGAGGGGGGACCUGGUGACCAUCUAUAAACUCACUAGGGGGGACCAGAAGGGGUUGGGGGAGACCUUGUUUCCCCCAGUGCCCCCCGGGAUAACAAGGAAUAACGGCCACAAGUUGUUGGAGAGUAGGUUUAGAUUAGACAUCCGUAGGAACUACUUCACAGUCAGGGCGGCUAGGAUCUAGAACCAACUUCCAAGGGAAGUGGUGCUGCCUCCUACCCUGGGGGUCUUUAAGGAAAGGCUUGAUGCCUACCUGGCUGGGGUCAUUUGAGCCCAGUUUUCUUCCUGCCCAGGCAGGGGGUCGGACUUAAAGAUCUACAAGGUCCCUUCCGACCCUACUUCUAUGAUUCUAUGAUAACCAUACCUCUGUGAUUGUGAUGACUGUGUCCCAGCAGGUUUUACAAACAACCUUUUUACAGGGCCUGGUCUAGUACAAAUGAUCAUAAGGUGAGAAAUAAUCCCCUUCCACUGCUUUUAAGCCAAAGCCUAGUAGCUAAUGUGUUUACCCAGACUGGGUAGGAGAUACAGGUUCGAAUUACCUACUCUUAUUUUCCUACUCCUAGAUGAGUGGCCUAAUCAUUAGGGUAGAGCCAUUUCCCUCUCUGUUCUUGUCUGGACCAAUGAAUAUUUCAUGAAUCCAUAAAAAGUGGAACAGCUCUAGGUGGGAAAGUUAAAGAGCACCUUCCCCUACACUACCAACCUACUGGUGAGUACAGCACUUUCUUGUGGACUUUAAUCCAAUCAAACUGAAGAGUGACCUGAACCUGCCCUCAGCUUAUCUGGGUGUUCACUUGAGGGAGACCUUUGUUCCACCCUCUGUAUCAAGGAGUUUUAUGUAUUUUUUAUAUUAAAUGGUCAUUAGAUAAAAUACAUAAGAAUGGUUCUUGACUGAGAGACCAGGACCCAGGGUUUACUUUUCCCAGGUGACUGCUCUAAUGCCAGGGUAGAAAAUCAUGCUCAACAUACUCCCUCCCUUGGCUCAAUGAAUGUUGAAUCUUUUGUGCAAAGUAGCACAGUCAACCAGAGGGCUGAAGCAUGUCCCUGCCUCAGCACCUCUUAUAUCCUGAGAGGUAAAAGAUGUAGAUUCAACUACAAAGGAAAAAUGUAAAAAACAAAGGUUAUGUUGGUGUAACUAGUCUUGAACCUGUGUGUGAGGUGCUAGGUGUUAUCAAGAAUGUGUAUAACAGAGUUCAAACAUCUGGACAUAGAUAUGAAUGGUUUAACAGCAUCAUACAAAGCCACUUUAUAGAAAAUGAAUACCAGCACAAUACAAAAUACAUUUAAGAGAAGAUGCUGAGCCUGUAGCAUGUUUCAAUGGUAAAAGCUUACAGACCUUAAGAAAAAGACUAGAAGAGCUGUGAAACAUGGCAUUUAAAGACUAGAAGAACUAACAGAGUGGGUUCACUCCUUACUAAUCUCAAAGGGGCAAAGAGGGAGACUGUGACUGGACCCUAAAAAGCUGAACAAAACACAUAAAAAGGGAAUAUUUUCACUUCUCCAUCAAAAACCAAAUUCUUCAGCACACCAGAUGCAUCAGCAAGGCAGACUCCUGAAUGGUGAAAACUCAAAAAUGAGCACUUUCACCACACCAUGGGGUACAUCCUGCUUCCUAUGACUGCUUUUCAGAAUAUCUUCAGCUCAACAAGAAUGUCACCUUACAAUAAACUAGCUGCUAAGAAUACAGUAAUUUAGCUUAGUUAAAUAUCAGGAACAGCUGAGGAGAGGACUGAAAAUGGCAUGAGCUCACAGCCUUAAACUGGAUAAAGCCAAAUGUCAGUUUUAAACAAGGGAAAUAACAUGCUUGGGAGGGAGGGAGAGAGAGAGCGAGAGCCUGCAUUCUGUCUUGCCUGGUGAACCAAAGAUUCAGGCAAUAUGGAACACACCGCGAUCUGAAGAGAUAAAGGGAAUUCAAAGACUGAUGUACACACACUGAAUUAUGUAAGCAAGUUCAUACUUAACUAUGCUGCUCACACAAGAGAUUCAUAGAGUUGAAAGGGACCUCCACAGUUCAUCAAGUCCACCCCCUGCCUAGGCUGGAAAAAGUGCCUCUCCCACCUUCUCUUAAAGACUCCCAAGGUAGGGAGAGCACCACCUCCCUUGGAAGCCCAUUCCAAAUUUUGGCCACCCUUCCUGUGAAGAAGUUUUUCCUGAUGUCUAGACUAAAUCUGUUCUCCAUCACUUUGUUUCCAUUGUACCUUGUUACCCCAAGAGGCGUCCUGGUGAAGAGAGCAUCUCCGAUCCCUUGCUGCGUCCUGCUAAGGAAUUUGUAAGUGGCCACAAGAUCACUCUCAGCCUUCUCCUGCAGAGGCUGAAGAGAUCCAGGUCCCUUAGUUUCCUCAGAGGGCUUGGCCUGCAAACACUUAACCAUACAGGUGGCCCUCCUCUAGACCCUCUCCCUGAAGACAGUUCCUCAGGGUCACUGAAUGGGUGCAGAUGCAGAUACUUAGAAGAAAGAUCUAUGAUUUAAGUAGCUAUCUCAGACCUCUCCCCAGAGUGAUGCACCUUUUUUACUCAUUUAAAGACAUUCUCAAAAGGAAGUUUGAGAGCACUACUAGCUCAAUGUCUUGGAAAUGACAGGUCUGACAGUUACACAAGAGAUGUAUACACAGAUUGAAAAGAGAUACCAUCAAGAGAUCAUGAAUUUCUCUGUGGGUGUUGUUUUAAGGCAGAAACCAGGAGUGGCUACAGGAGGGGGUAGGCGUGCAGUGGUGCAGUAGCAGCACUGCCUCCCCUCCUCCCCACUCCAGGCCUUUGAUUCCUCAUAGCAGACACAGCAUUUCUAUUCGGGCAGCAGUAAGAGAGUCAAUUGACUUCAUUGCUCGUUAUAAUCCACCUGAUUCUGUCUGAACACUUCAUUCCACAGGUGCUGACGACCCACUCCUUUUUAAUUGUCUUGAUGUUUCACUAGUCAAGCUAUCCUUUCUUUGGCAAUUCUGCUGUCAUUUUGCCUAGUAAUGUGGCUGUUUUCAAAGCCCUGGAGAUGGUUUUUAACUUUACCUAAAAAUGUUAACUCGGGUGUGGAAAUAUUUUUCAGUGAAGCAUGGGAUGCACUGCCAAGAAGGCUAGAUUUUAUUUUAUGAAUCUGAAAAAGAGUUGUACAUUUAAUUCUAAUGACUACAGGACCAAUAAAACAGCAUCUUUUGAUUAUUUUUUGCCUAGUUGCUUUUUAAUACAUAAUAGCAAAUUAAAGCACAGUCCAAUCAAGUUAUAUUUGUUUUUGCUUCAAUUUUAAAUGUAAUAAUAUACUACUAAGCCCGCAGCACGUUAGGAAAGCAUCUCAUUUCUUUAUAACUGGAGAAAAUGUGUUGUUAUAUGUGAUAUAACAAUCU